rnacentral:sRNA from 1 species
CAGUCUAGGCAGAAGAAAUUGCAACUGUGAAAGGAAGAUUUGCAUGAAAGAAUGGUGUUUUUGGCUGAGUGAGGAAUUUGAAGUAUCUGGAAAAUGGAAGCUCCACUUGUUCAACAGCCUCUCCUCCAGUUUCGACCCCAGUCACAGGACACAAGAGAAUGGUCAUCCCGAACCAACCCCCUCUAACAGCAACCAAAAAGUCUACAUUGAAACCACAGCCUGCACCCCAGGCUGGACCCAUCCCUGUGGCUCCAAUCGGAACACUCAAACCCCAGCCUCAGCCAGUCCCAGCCUCCUACACCACGGCCUCCACUUCUUCAAGGCCUACCUUUAAUGUGCAGGUGAAGUCAGCCCAGCCCAGCCCUCAUUAUAUGGCUGCCCCGUCAUCAGGACAAAUGUAUGGCUCAGGGCCCCAGGGCUAUAACACUCAGCCAGUUCCCGUCUCUGGGCAGUGUCCACCUCCUUCAACACGGGGAGGCAUGGAUUAUGCCUACAUUCCACCACCAGGACUUCAGCCUGAGCCUGGGUAUGGGUAUGCCCCCAACCAGGGGCGCUAUUAUGAAGGCUACUAUGCAGCAGGGCCAGGCUAUGGGGGCAGAAAUGACUCCGAUCCUGCCUAUGGUCAACAAGGUCACCCAAAUACCUGGAAACGGGAACCAGGGUACACUCCUCCUGGAGCAGGGAACCAGAACCCUCCUGGGAUGUAUCCAGUCACUGGUCCCAAGAAGACCUAUAUCACAGAUCCUGUUUCAGCCCCCUGUGCACCACCAUUGCAGCCAAAGGGUGGCCAUACAGGGCAACUGGGGCCUUCGUCAGUUGCCCCUUCAUUCCGCCCAGAGGAUGAGCUUGAGCACCUGACCAAAAAGAUGCUGUAUGACAUGGAAAAUCCACCUGCUGACGAAUACUUUGGCCGCUGUGCUCGCUGUGGAGAAAACGUAGUUGGGGAAGGUACAGGAUGCACUGCCAUGGAUCAGGUCUUCCACGUGGAUUGUUUUACC